AGAGUUUGAUCCUGGCUCAGGACGAACGCUGGCGGCACGCUUAACACAUGCAAGUCGAACGGAGAACAUUGAGCUUGCUUAAUGUUCUUAGUGGCGGACGGGUGAGUAACACGUGAGUAACCUGCCUCUAAGAGUGGGAUAGCUUCUGGAAACGGAUGGUAAUACCGCAUAACAUCAUGGAUUCGCAUGUUUCUAUGAUCAAAGAUUUAUCGCUUAGAGAUGGACUCGCGUCUGAUUAGCUAGUUGGUAAGGUAACGGCUUACCAAGGCGACGAUCAGUAGCCGGACUGAGAGGUUGAUCGGCCACAUUGGGACUGAGACACGGCCCAGACUCCUACGGGAGGCAGCAGUGGGGAAUAUUGCACAAUGGGGGAAACCCUGAUGCAGCGACGCCGCGUGAGCGAAGAAGUAUUUCGGUAUGUAAAGCUCUAUCAGCAGGGAAGAUAAUGACGGUACCUGACUAAGAAGCCCCGGCUAACUACGUGCCAGCAGCCGCGGUAAUACGUAGGGGGCAAGCGUUAUCCGGAUUUACUGGGUGUAAAGGGAGCGUAGACGGCAAGGCAAGUCUGAUGUGAAAACCCAGGGCUUAACCCUGGGACUGCAUUGGAAACUGUCUGGCUCGAGUGCCGGAGAGGCAAGCGGAAUUCCUAGUGUAGCGGUGAAAUGCGUAGAGAUCAGGAGGAACAUCGGUGGCGAAGGCGGCUUACUGGGCCUUUACUGACGCUGAGGCUCGAAAGCGUGGGGAGCAAACAGGAUUAGAUACCCUGGUAGUCCACACGGUAAACGAUGAAUACUCGCUGUUUGCGAUAUACAGCAAGCGGCCAAGCGAAAGCGUUAAGUAUUCCACCUGGGGAGUACGCCGGCAACGGUGAAACUCAAAGGAAUUGACGGGGGCCCGCACAAGCGAAGGAACAUGUGGUUUAAUUCGAUGAUACGCGAGGAACCUUACCCGGGCUCAAACGCAGGGGGAAUGUCGGUGAAAGCCGGCAGCUAGUAAUAGUCACCUGCGAGGUGCUGCAUGGUUGUCGUCAGCUCGUGCCGUGAGGUGUCGGCUUAAGUGCCAUAACGAGCGCAACCCCUAUCGACAGUUACUAACGGGUGAAGCCGAGGACUCUGUCGAGACUGCCGGCGCAAGCCGCGAGGAAGGUGGGGAUGACGUCAAAUCAGCACGGCCCUUACGUCCGGGGCGACACACGUGUUACAAUGGCAGGUACAGAAGGCAGCCAGUCAGCAAUGACGCGCGAAUCCCGAAAACCUGUCUCAGUUCGGAUUGGAGUCUGCAACCCGACUCCAUGAAGCUGGAUUCGCUAGUAAUCGCGCAUCAGCCAUGGCGCGGUGAAUACGUUCCCGGGCCUUGCACACACCGCCCGUCA
rnacentral:rRNA from 1 species